rnacentral:rRNA from 1 species
AGGGAAAGAGCUUGCUCUUUCCGGAAUUGAGUGGCAAACGGGUGAGUAACACGUAAACAACCUGCCUUCAGGAUGGGGACAACAGACGGAAACGACUGCUAAUACCGAAUAAGUUCCAAGAGCCGCAUGGCCCAUGGAAGAAAAGGUGGCCUCUACCUGUAAGCUAUCGCCUGAAGAGGGGUUUGCGUCUGAUUAGCUGGUUGGAGGGGUAACGGCCCACCGUGGCUUCGACGGGUAGCCGGCCUGAGAGGGCGACCGGCCACAUUGGGACUGAGACACGGCCCAGACUCC